rnacentral:rRNA from 1 species
AUACGUAGGUGGCAAGCGUUGUCCGGAAUUAUUGGGCGUAAAGCGCGCGCAGGCGGUCCUUUAAGUCUGAUGUGAAAGCCCACGGCUCAACCGUGGAGGGUCAUUGGAAACUGGGGGACUUGAGUGCAGAAGAGGAAAGUGGAAUUCCAAGUGUAGCGGUGAAAUGCGUAGAGAUUUGGAGGAACACCAGUGGCGAAGGCGACUUUCUGUUCUGUAACUGACGCUGAGGCGCGAAAGCGUGGGGAGCAAACAGGAUUAGAUACCCUGGUAGUCCACGCCGUAAACGAUGAGUGCUAAGUGUUAGGGGGUUUCCGCCCCUUAGUGCUGCAGCUAACGCAUUAAGCACUCCGCCUGGGGAGUACGGUCGCAAGACUGAAACUCAAAUGAAUUGACGGGG